GGUGGUUCAGUGGUAGAGUGCUUGCCUUGCAUGCAUGAGUCCCUGAGUUCGAUUCCUCAGCACCA
rnacentral:tRNA from 1 species